rnacentral:tRNA from 2 species
CUAGGUAGCUCAGUCGGUAGAGCAAUGGACUGAAAAUCCAUGUGUCGCCGGUUCGAUCCCGGCCCA